CCUACGGGAGGCAGCAGUGGGGAAUAUUGGGCAAUGGGCGCAAGCCUGACCCAGCAACGCCGCGUGAAGGAAGAAGGCUUUCGGGUUGUAAACUUCUUUUCUCAGGGACGAGGCGAGUAACGUUACCUGAGGAAUAAGCCACGGCUACCUCCGGGCCAGCAGUCGCGGUAAUACGUAGGUGGCAAGCGUUAUCCGGAUUUACUGGGUGUAAGGGGCGUGUAGGCGGGAAAGCAAGUCAGAUGUGAAAACCAUGGGCUCAACCUGUGGCCUGCAUUUGAAACUGUUUUUCUUGAGUACUGGAGAGGCAGACGGAAUUCCUAGUGUAGCGGUGAAAUGCGUAGAUAUUAGGAGGAACACCAGUGGCGAAGGCGGUCUGCUGGACAGCAACUGACGCUGAGGCGCGAAAGCGUGGGGAGCAAACAGGAUUAGAUACCCUGGUAGUC
rnacentral:rRNA from 1 species